GACGAACGCUGGCGGCGUGCCUAACACAUGCAAGUCGAACGGAGUUACUUCGACGGAUUCCUUCGGGAUGAAGAUGAUUUAACUUAGUGGCGGACGGGUGAGUAACGCGUGAGCAACCUGCCUUUCAGAGGGGGACAACAGUUGGAAACGACUGCUAAUACCGCAUAACGUAAAGUUUGGACAUCCUUACUUUACCAAAGGAGCAAUCCGCUGAAAGAUGGGCUCGCGUCCGAUUAGAUAGUUGGCGGGGUAAACGGCCCACCAAGUCGACGAUCGGUAGCCGGACUGAGAGGUUGAUCGGCCACAUUGGGACUGAGACAGGCCCAGACUCCUACGGAGGCAGCA
rnacentral:rRNA from 1 species